AGUUCCGCCUUGGGACGAGGCCCUGGCUGGGGGAACCGCAUCAGGCCUGACACCCAUCCCAUUCCCCCCUAAACCCAGAACGACAUCCAACCUCAUUCCGCAGCCCCUUCCCGACCUCGCCGCUCAGGCUAUGAUGGAAAGGUCCCUGGGAGUGGGGAGGAGGGCGAAUUUAAACCCAGAGAGAGAUCCUGUAGCCCAGUUCUCCUCGGUUCCCUAAACCUCCAGGAAAGCGGAGAAAGUCACAUUGUGGUGGCAGCUGCAGGUUUUUUUUUUUUAAUCUGUUAAUAAAACGCAAGUGAAUCAAAUCCGCCCUAAGGGAAGGGGGGGGGGCGCGGCGAGGCAGGGGCCAUGGUGUUUGCAGAAGUUGGAAAUUUAAUAAGAAGGAAAAAUAAAAAUAGCCACUGUGCUGGAGAGAGAGAGAGAGAAGGUUGGGAGAAGCAGCGCCCCUCACCUUCUGAGCUACUCAAGAGAUGGGGGACAGGAGCAGUACUGCCAAGAACAGUUGUGCAAGUUGCACACUGCACAAGCAUACCAGACAGAAGCUAGAGCAGAAGCUGACGUCGUCUGUUCCCCUCACCACACAUUGCAUCUGCCCAGAGGAAGAGGUGCCGUGCUGGGCAGUGAAUGAAUGAACCUUGCCCUGGGUUUAACACUCCAGUGGGAUGAACAGACAAACCCCACAAGCACUGCAUACGGCUUCAUGUCCAUUUUGGGUCGUUGCAAGGAGGUUCUGCUCAUCAUAGUCUCCGAUGGAACAGCCACAUUCUGGAACAUUAUGAAACAUUGCUUGCUGUCACGCUGGAAGGAAGUAAGAGCUUUGGGGGAUCUCACACAGGCAAUUAAAUGCUGUAGUUUGGGAAUAAUGCCUGUCAAUUUCACUCACAGCUCAUUGGUUAGAGCUAGUCACAUGACCUCAUCCAACACAAGGUGGGCAUGAAGUGCAGCUACUGUAACCAAAAUGUGGGUUAGUCACUUGCCAGCUUGCGAAGUCCAAUUAACGAGAGCUAGGUCUGGUCUAAAGAAAGUGAUUUAUUCCAAAACUAGCUUAGGGGAAGAAGCACAGGCGUCCCACCUUCAAACAUACUGCUUCCGUUUUGGAGCAGAAAGCCAGCACUUUAAAAGGCAGGGGAAAAAGUAGGGUGGGGGGCGCAUGUUAGCUCUGGUGCCUUAUCUACUGGGCGGUUGAGCUAGGGGCUGCUGGCACCUUUGUGGACAGGACUAGGCCAAAAUCUCCCCAGGUGGGAGUUUUUCGAGGUAGUCUCCCGAUGGAGGGAGUUUCGUAGAUUUGGCUGUUACCUCUUGAGGCAACCUCCUGAUGGGUGAGAGUUCUGCAGCAGGCAUGCUUUGGUCUCUAAAUCAACUGUCAACUCUUGAGGAGUUUAAUGAACUUGCCCUGUAGGGAGUGUCUGGUGAAUCAAGGGGGCGUUGGGGGAGGAAGGAGUAAAAGGUUAUAUUUGGGGUUUUUUGUUCGUUUUUGUUUGUUCGUUUGUUUGUUUCUUUUUUUGAGACAAAACCUCGCUCUGUAGCCCAGGCUAGAGUGCGGUGACGUGAUGUCGGCUCACUGCAACCUCCGCCUCCCGGGUUCAAGCGAUUCUCCUGCCUCAGCCUCCCGAAUGGCUGGAAUUACAGGCGCGUGCCACUGUGAGACGGGGUUUCACCAUGUUGGCCAGGCUGGUCGUGAACUCCCGACCUCAGGUAAUUUUCCCACCUCGGCCUCCCAAAAUGCUAGGAUUACAGGAGUGAGCUACCACGCCCGGCCUAUAUUUGUAUUUCUAAAGGGCUGAGUAGGAAGUGGGGAACCAGGGAAUGACAAAAGAGGAGAGAGAGAGAAAAAAUAAACCAUAUCUUAGAAAAAUGGGGGUGGCUGUUUGCAGUGGCUCAUGCCUGUAAUCCUACCACUUUGGGAGGCUGAGGAAAGUAGAAGGCUUGAGCUCAGGAGUUCAAGACCAGCGUGGGCAACAUAAUGAGACCCUAUCGCUACAAAAAAUUAGCCGGGCAUGAUGGAACACGCCUGUAGUCCCAGCUACUUAGGAGGCUGAGGUGGGAGGAUCACCUGAGCCUGGGUGAUAGAGGCUGCACUGAAGUGAACCAUGAUCAUGAUUGUGCCACUGCACUUCAGCCUGGGUGACAGAGUGAGACCCUGUUUCAAAAAAAAAAAAAAGAAAGAAAAGAAAAAGAGAAGUGGGGGUACUCAAUUAUACUAUCUUGCUCACAGGAAAGGCAAGAGCAGGAAAUAUCUGGCCAACAGAACGAAUGGCGUCCAACUAACAGCAUCUUGUGAAAAUAAAAUGAGUUAAUGAAAGUUAACUCACUUAAGACAGCACCUGGUAUAUAGUGAGUGCUCUUUAUGUGGUUCCCAAUUUUGUGUUUCAUCAAGAAAGGUGAUCUCACUCAGGUACCUGAUGCCUCUCUGACACUGGGUGAGCAAGACCAAGAUGGAUCAGUGGCUGAAAGCCUGAAAGAUAUAUGCCAUGUGUACACCAAGUGUGUGCCAGGCAUAGACCAGGUGUGCACCAGGAAUGUGGCAGGUGUGUGCCAGGUGUACACCAGCUGUGCACCAGGAAUGUGGCAGGCGUGUGCCAGGUGUACACCAGGUGUACAUCAGGAAUGUGGCAGGCGUGUGCCAGGUAUACUCCAGGUGUGCACCAGGAAUGUGGCAGGUGUGUGCUAGGUAUACGCUAGGUGUGCACCAGGAAUGUGGCAGGUGUGUGCCAGGUAUACUCCCGGUGUGCACCAGGAAUGUGGCAGGCAUGUGCCACGUAUAUGCCAGGUGUGCACCAGGUAUGUGCUGUGUGCCAGGUAUACACCAGGUGUGCACCAGGAAUGUGCAACCACUGAGGCACAGGUCAGGGCACACUGGUGCCUGGUUCUGAUCUCUGACCACACUCAUGUCUGGUCAUAGCGCUCCAUCACACAUUCCUAGGGAAAUAUAAACUGAAGACCCAGAUCCUUUACUUAGACCUUUUACCACUGGGCCAAUAGACACCCACUUCUUCCCCACCCAGAGACCCCCUGGGCAUCCACAUCCGCUGGGCAAGAGCAGGUAUUCAUGUCAGUUUUGGUCUACAGCCUGGGAGCUCUAAAAGGUAGGAGCCGGCAACCUCCCCAACCCACCAGCCCGGAUCCCUACAGCUGUCCCACCCACCCCUGUCCUUCCUCCUCCUCUCUUGGCCAGGAGGAGCACUCAUUCUGAACCAGGCCCUUUUAGUCAUUCAGUUCCUGACCCAGAGCAGCUGAGAAGUCAGAGGCGAGGAGAGAGCUCCAAGAAGCAAAGUCACUCACUCAGGAUCUCCCAGUGCUGGGUGGUGGAGGCAGGAUUCGAACCUAGGCUGCUCUGUCUUCCAAGUUUUUGUUUCUUAUUUUAUUUUAUAUUUUAUUGUUAUUAUUAUUAUUUUGAGAAAGGGUCUCACUCUGUUGCCCGGGCUGGAGUGCAGUGGCACGAUCAUAGCUCACUGCAGACUCAAAACUCCUGGGCUCAAGUGAUCCUACUACCUCAGCUCCCCGAGUAGCUGGGACUAGGGGUGUGCCACCAUACCUGCCUUUUUUUUUUUUUUUUUUUUUGUAGAGACAGGGUCUCACUAUGUUGCCCAGGCUGGUCUCAAACUCCUGGACUCAAGCAAUCCUGCCUCAGCCUCCCAAAAGUGCUGAGAUUACAGGUAUGAGCCACUCAUGCUCAGCCUGCCACAGCCUGGGCAACAUAGUGAGACCCCUUCUCUACCGAGAAAGAAAACAAAAUUUAGCAUAGCGUGGUGGCAUGCACCUGUAGUCCCAGCUACUCAGGAGGCCAAGGUGGGAGGCUCAC
rnacentral:lncRNA from 1 species